UUUAUCAUGGUUCUUAGCUCCUUUGCACUGGGUUAGAACAUAACUCCUUUAGCUCAAUGGAGUUCGUUAUUACCCACAUUCUGAAGCCUACUUCUGUCAGUUCAUCCAUCUCAGCCUCUGUCCAGUUCUGUGCCCUUGCUGGAGAGGUGUUUCAGUCAUUCGAAGGAGAAGAGGCACUCUGGCUUUUUGAGUUUUCAGCGUUUUUGCAUUGAUUUUUUUCUCAUCUUUGUGAGCUUGUCUACCUUUGAUCUUUGAGGCUGCUGACCUUUGGAUGGGGUUUUGUGGGGUCUUUUUUUGUUGAUGUUGUUGUUGCUUUCUUUCUUUUAACAGCUAGGCCCCUCUUCUGUAGGGUUGCUGCAGUUUGCUGGGGGUCUACUCCAGACCCUAUUCACCUGGAUCCCUCCUGCACCUGGAAGUGUCACCAGUGGAGGCUGUAGAACACCAAAGAUGGCUGCCUGAUCCUUCCUCUGGGAGCUCAAUCUCAGAGGGACACCAACCUGAUGCUGGUGGGAACGCUCCCGUAUAAGAUUCCUGACAACCCAUGUUGGGGGAUCUCACCCAGUCAGGAGGCUUGGGAUCCGAGGCCUGCUUAAAGAAGCAGUCUGGCUGCCCCUUGGUGGAGUGGGUGCACUGCACUGGAGGGACUCCUCUUUGUCCAAACUGCCCAGCCUCUUCAGAACCAGCAGGCAGGAAAGAUUAUGUCUACUGAGUUGUGGAGAUCACAGCUGCCCAUCCCCCUAAGGACUCCAUUCCAGGGAGAUCAGAGUUCUGUUUGUAAACCUCUGGCUGGAGUUGCUGAAAUUCCCACAGGGAGGCCCUGCCCAUUGACGGGGAAUGGAUCUGGGUCCCACCUAAAGCAGCAGUCUAGCCAUGAUCUGCCACAGCCACUGUGCUGUGCUGUGGGAAAUUCCUCCUGGUUCAAACUACCCAGUCUUCCCCGCACCAGCAGAGGAAAACGGCAGACUGGAGCUGCAGUGAUGGUGGCCGCCCCUCCCCCUAGGUACUCAGUUGUCUUAGGCAGUCUCUAGCCAGCUGCCACUAGCUGCAACCUGAGCAUCUGGACAGCUCUGUACUUGGGACCCAAGGCUCUGGUGGUUUGGGCUCAUGAGGGGAUUUCCUGAUCUGUGAGUUGCACAGAUCUGUGGAAAAAACAUGGUUUUCCAGGCAGGUAGCACAAUCAGUCACUGCCUCCCUUGGCUGGGGAUGGGAGCUCCUCUUGCCCCAUGGUGCUCCUGAGUGGUCCAUCGCUCCACCCUGCUUUUCCCGACUCUCCAUGGGUUGUGCCAACCACCUAGUCAGUCUCAAUGAGAGAACCUGGGUACCUCAGCUGAAGGUGCAGGAUUCACUCACCAUUUUCAUUCUUCUCAGUGGGAGCCACCAAUGGCAGCUGCUUCUAGUAGGCCAUCUUUCCACUUUGCUGGUAAUUUUUUUAACAACCAAGUGAAUAUGCCAAAUGGUAACUUGGAUCCACAGAAAAAGCAAAGAGAACCAGUAAAGGUAAAGAUAAUUAUAUAAUGGUAAGACUAUAAAUGCAUUUUUCCUUAACAUGAAUGAAUUAAACAGUUUAUUAAAAAGGCAGAGAUUGUCAGAAAACCUGUGUAAAAACAAGCAAACAAACAAAAACAAAAAAUAAGACCCAACUAUAUGCUGUCCACAGGAGAUACACCUUUUAUUCAAAGAUACAAAUAGACUGACAGUAAAAGGAUGAGAAAAGGUACAUCAUUCAAACAGCAGCCACAAGAAAGCUGGAGUGGCUAUACUAAUCUCAUACAAAAUAGACAUAACAAAAAAUUCCUAGAGACAUUUUAUAACUAUAGAAGGGUCAAUCUAUCAGGAAAAGCUAACAAUUACAAAUAUGUAUGCACCCAACAACAAAACACUACAAUACACAAAGCACACAACUGACAGAAAUAAGAGUUGGAGACUUCAAUGUCUCACUUUCUAUAAUGAAUAACCAAGCAGAAAAUCAACUAGGAAAUAAAAGAUAUAACAUUAUAAACAACUAGACCUAACAAACAUCUAUAAAACACUCCACACAACAAGAAAGUAUACAUUCUUCUCAACUGCACAUAGAACAUUCUCUAGAACACACCACCAUAUGCUAGGCUAUAAAGCAAACCUCUCUAAAUUUAAAAGGAUAUAAUACAUAAAUUAUGUUCUCCUACACAAUAGAAUGAAAUUAGGAAUUGAUAUAGUUUGAAUUUUUGUUCACUCCAAAACUCAUACUAAAAGUUAAUUCCCAUUUUGAAGGUGUCGGGAGGUGGGAACUUUAAGAGGUGUUUGGGUCAUGAGGGUUAUGUGCUCAUUAAUGGGUUAAUGCCAUUAUCACAGAAAUGUGUUCAUUAUCACAGGAGGAGUACUGUUAUAAAAGGGCAGGUCUGGCCUCCCCUUGCUCUCUCUUGCCUUUCCACCUCCCACCAUGGGAUGAUGCAGCACAAGGGUCCUGCCAGAUGCUGCCCCCUCAUUCUUCGAUUUCCCAGCCUCCAGAGCUGUGCUAAAUAAAUUUCUGUUCAUUAUUAAAUACCCAGUCUUAAGUAUUUUGUUAUAGCAGGACAAAUUGGAAUAAGACAGAAAUCAACAGGAAAAAAUUUGGAAAACUCCCAAGCAUAUGGAAAUUGAGCAGCACUCUACUAAAUAACCAAUGGAUCAGAGGAAAACAAAAGGGAAAUAAAAAAAUACCCUGACAUAAAUGAAAAUGAAGACACAACAUAUCAAAAUUUAUGGAAUGAAGCUGAAGCAGUGUUAAAUGUCUAGCUGCACAUGCGUAUAAUAAGAAAGAAGAAAAAUUUCAAAUCAUUAACCUAGUUUUAUCCUGGAAAAAGAAGAGUAAACUAAACCUAAAGAAAGCAGAAGAAAGAAAAGAUAAAUAUUAGAAUGGAAAUUAAUGAAACAGAUAUUGAAAAGCACAAGAGAAAAACAAUAAAACCAAAAACUGAAAAGAUUUUUAAAAAUUAACAAAACUGUAGCUAGGCUAAGAAAAAAGAGAAGACUCAAAUUACUAGAAUCAGAAAUAAAAAAGGGCAUUACUACAGAUCUUACAGAAAUAACAAAGGAUGAUAAAGAAGUAGUAUGAACAAUCGCAUGCCAAUACAUUAGGUAACUUAGAUGAAAUGGAUACAUUCCUAGAAAGACACAAACUACCAAACCCCACUUAAGAUCAGGCAAUCUGAACAGACUUAUAACAAGCAAAAAUACUGAAUAAGCAGUAAAACACCAUACCCACCCAGACGGCUUCAC
rnacentral:lncRNA from 10 species